GCGCCCGUAGCUCAGUUGGCAGAGCGGUGGGACGGUACUCCGCGGUCCCGGGUUCAAGUCCCGGCGGUCGCU